rnacentral:tRNA from 1 species
GGUUCCAUCGUCUAGUGGUUAUGACAUCAGCUUUACAUGCUGAGGGUCGCCGGUUCGAUCCCGGCUGGAGCCA